UAGGUGCAAUACUAUCUUUCAUAAUAGAUAUCAUCUAUCCAAGAUAAUAGUAGUUGACCCAUGUGGGGAUAGGCAUCCAUUACUAAAAGGAAUUUAGGUAAAAUAUGUCUUUUACAUAAAGAUAAACAAUCUUAGCUGAGUGUGACUCAAACAGAUUCUUGUUUAGGGUCCCAGAAGACAAGGAUCUUCUUCUUGAUGGGGGGUUGCCCCUAGAUGGAUUAUUCCCGGUAUUGGUUUUGUUGGAUCAGUUUAGAGAUGGAUAGGAUCGUUGUAAAAUACAUGGAAUGGUUGGAAAAUAAAAUAAAGAGCUAGAAGCCUUGUAUGCAUAACAUCGUUAUAGAAGUACUAGACAGGGAUGAAAAGUGCGUUAUAUCGCGUAUCAUGUUGUUCCUGAACAGGAAUUCAGUUAUAGGGUUCUGACUCAUCCUGACUUUCUAUAAAAGACCAGCUCUACUUAGAUGUAUAAGAACACAAGCUGUGUAGCUUGUUUCAACGUUCAUACAGCAUGUGCACGGUCUGUGAAAGAAGCCC
rnacentral:lncRNA from 1 species